rnacentral:rRNA from 1 species
UACGUAGGGUGCAAGCGUUAAUCGGAAUUACUGGGCGUAAAGCGUGUGUAGGUGGUUGUGCAAGACAGAUGUGAAAUCCCCGGGCUUAACCUGGGAACUGCAUUUGUGACUGCACGGCUAGAGUGUGUCAGAGGGGGGUAGAAUUCCACGUGUAGCAGUGAAAUGCGUAGAUAUGUGGAGGAAUACCGAUGGCGAAGGCAGUUUUUUGGGAUAACACUGACGCUCAUGCACGAAAGCGUGGGGAGCAAACAGGAUUAGAAACCCUAGUAGU